GAUGAACGCUGGGCGUGCCUAAUACAUGCAAGUCUAGCGAACGGACGAGAAGCUUGCUUCUCUGAUGUUAGCGGCGGACGGGUGAGUAACACGUGGAUAACCUACCUAUAAGACUGGGAUAACUUCGGGAAACCGGAGCUAAUACCGGAUAAUAUUUUGAACCGCAUGGUUCAAAAGUGAAAGACGGUCUUGCUGUCACUUAUAGAUGGAUCCGCGCUGCAUUAGCUAGUUGGUAAGGUAACGGCUUACCAAGGCAACGAUGCAUAGCCGACCUGAGAGGGUGAUCGGCCACACUGGAACUGAGACACGGUCCAGACUCCUACGGGAGGCAGCAGUAGGGAAUCUUCCGCAAUGGGCGAAAGCCUGACGGAGCAACGCCGCGUGAGUGAUGAAGGUCUUCGGAUCGUAAAACUCUGUUAUUAGGGAAGAACAUAUGUGUAAGUAACUGUGCACAUCUUGACGGUACCUAAUCAGAAAGCCACGGCUAACUACGUG
rnacentral:rRNA from 1 species